GGAGAGUGAGUGAAAGGUUGUCAGGUGUUUGUGUGCAGAGGUAUUGAAGGCUAUGAAAUAUUUACCAAAGCAAUAAUGACUCCCCGGACAGAGCAUGAGAGGAGAGGAACGAGGGAGAGGAGAAGAAAGGGAGAACUGCCACCUUUCACAGGAAAAGAGAGAAGAACAAAGAGGAAGUAAGAUUGGUGAGUUGUCUUUUACUAGGGGUCUCUCUCUCAACAACAACAACAACAAUAAAAAAUAUUACAAGUAAAAAAUAAUAAUAAUAACAUAACAACAAUAAUGAUUUUGGGGUAAAUACACUGGGAGUCUCCUAAUGUGUGUGCGUGCUCUAAAGCAAUAUUUGGAGAUAUCAUCUGACGCUUAACGGAGAGAAAGACAACGGAAGAGCUGACUGAACUCUGUCUCUCUUUUCUUUUCACACACAGACUGUAAUACAAUAAUCCUGUUGUUUCAUGCUGACUAACUUCAAGGCCUGGACCCCGGUGUGUGUUCUUUUAAGUGCAAGCGUAAUAUUUAGCUUUGAGGUCACGCCUGCAAUGCAUGCUGGGGGACAGACUGAGCCGGAAGCAGGAGAGAGGAAGGAAGAAUUACCACUGAGCUGCUCUGAACACAUACAUACGCUGCACCCUGGGAUCCACGGAGGGGCUCUCAGACUUGUUACACAGCUACUGCUGUCUGACAAAUGACCAAACACAACCUUUAGAGCUGACCUACACAAGCCGAGGAGGGGCGCAAGGUUGGCUGAUGUCAAAAGAAAAACAAUGAGUGGAACAAAAUCGAUGAAACUAGUGCAACCAUCACUCCACCAACGAGGGACGUUAAACAACGACUGCGCUGCUGGGCAAUUACCAUGAUUGGAGUGAGAGCGUAUGUGUAUUUGUGUGUUAGUCCCUCAGGUAUUCUCCAAGCCACUUUUGAUUAGCACAUAUGCUUAAACCGAUACGAAGUGACUGUGUAUCUGCGUGUGUGUGUUUAUGUGCAAGGCUGUCUUCAUUACCAUGUGUGCUUUUACGGACGAGGGUUGAUCAGUCAAUGCUGUGCACUUUAUUUAUGAGUAAAAGGAGACAGAUGGAGCGGGGCGAGGUAUUGAUGAGCCAUUGCCUUUAAACAGGAAUCAAUAGGCAGGGAGGGGCUGAAUGACACACACAUUAACUCUGUAAUAUGAGGGGAUAUGAAAUCACUGAUCUCACUUGCUAGGGGCUUAGCCUGUCCUGUCUCUCUUAUCUCCCUCCUUCUAUUGCCAUUCGUGGCUUAAGUAAAAUAGGGGUGCAAGGUUGAGAUUAAACAGUGGAGGAACGUGCUAAUCAAGGCUAUUCAUUAGCAGAAAGGUGUGCUAGCAUUAUGAGUGUCAGUGACGGGAUUUCACCCCCACACAAAAUAUGAACUAAAGUUAUUAAAACUGUUUUCAUUAAAUUAACAAAGUAUAAGUAUUAUAAAAGUGAAUAUAAGCAUUUUUUAAAAUUCUUAAAAAAAUAAAUAAAUAAAUAACUGAAAUAGGCUAAAGUAC
ensembl:lncRNA